GAGUUUGAUCGUGGCUCAGAACGAACGCUGGCGGCAGGCUUAACACAUGCAAGUCGAACGCCCCGCAAGGGGAGUGGCGCACGGGUGAGUAACGCGUGGGAAUAUGCCCUUCGGUUCGGAAUAACACAGGGAAACUUGUGCUAAUACCGGAUACGAUCUACGGAUGAAAGAUUUAUCGCCGAGGGAGUAGCCCGCGUAGGAUUAGCUAGUUGGUGAGGUAAUGGCUCACCAAGGCGACGAUCCUUAGCUGGUCUGAGAGGAUGAUCAGCCACACUGGGACUGAGACACGGCCCAGACUCCUACGGGAGGCAGCAGUGGGGAAUAUUGGACAAUGGGGGGAAACCCUGAUCCAGCCAUGCCGCGUGAGUGAUGAAGGCCUUAGGGUUGUAAAGCUCUUUCGCCAGGGAAGAUAAUGACGGUACCUGGAAAAGAAGCCUCGGCUAACUCCGUGCCAGCAGCCGCCGUAAC
rnacentral:rRNA from 1 species